AAUGUUGUCAGCGUGUGAAGGAGUUUCAAUGAGCAGCGAGAUGAACCAGCAUUCUGAGAGACUUGAGGCUGCAUUGAUUUGAAAUUGUACAGACAUACAGAUGGUAGUGGCUAAAGUCAAACAUCUUUAGCCUUAUAGAUCGCCUUGCUCACGUAUUGGAAGAUCAGCCAAUCUAAGUUGGUUGCUUGAUAAAUACAAACGCUACUCUGUUAAAAUGUGGAGUGGAUUUGCUCGUCGAGG